CAAAGGUGAGCCAGUACAGGAUGGACCCGCGUCUGAUUAGCUAGUUGGUAAGGUAACGGCUUACCAAGGCGACGAUCAGUAGCCGACCUGAGAGGGUGAUCGGCCACAUUGGAACUGAGACACGGUCCAAACUCCUACGGGAGGCAGCAGUGGGGAAUAUUGCACAAUGGGCGAAAGCCUGAUGCAGCAACGCCGCGUGAGUGAUGAAGGCCUUCGGGUCGUAAAACUCUGUCCUCAAGGAAGAUAAUGACGGUACUUGAGGAGGGAGCCCCGGCUAACUACGUGCCAGCAGCCGCGGUAAUACGUAGGGGGCUAGCGUUAUCCGGAUUUACUGGGCGUAAAGGGUGCGUAGGCGGUCUUUCAAGUCAGGAGUGAAAGGCUACGGCUCAACCGUAGUAAGCUCUUGAAACUGGGAGACUUGAGUGCAGGAGAGGAGAGUGGAAUUCCUAGUGUAGCGGUGAAAUGCGUAGAUAUUAGGAGGAACACCAGUUGCGAAGGCGGCUCUCUGGACUGUAACUGACGCUGAGGCACGAAAGCGUGGGGAGCAAACAGGAUUAGAUACCCUGGUAGUCCACGCUGUAAACGAUGAGUACUAGGUGUCGGGGGUUACCCCCUUCG
rnacentral:rRNA from 1 species